rnacentral:rRNA from 1 species
ACGUCCUUUGACCUGUAAAGGACGUGGCACACGGCUCAGUAACACGUAGUCAACCUGCCCUGGAGCCUUGGAUAACCCCGGGAAACUGGGACUAAUACAAGAUAGGUCAAGAUUUCUGGAAGGGGCCUUGACUGAAAUAGCAUCUAAGCAUGUUUAGAUGUCUUCUCUAGGAUGGGACUGCGGCCCAUCAGGUUGUUGGUGGGGUAAAGGCCCACCAAGCCGAUUACCGGUACGGGCUUUGGGAGAAGGAGCCCGGAGAUGGACCCUGAAAAAAGGGUCUAGGCCCUACGGGGCGCAGCAGGCGCGAAAUCUUCGCAAUGCGCGAAAGCGCGACGAGGUUAUUCCGAGUGCAAUCUGCUGAAGAUAGCUUUUGUCAGGUGUAAAUAGCCUGGAGAAUAAGGGGAGGGAAAGCCUGGUGUCAGCCGCCGCGGUAACACCA